rnacentral:lncRNA from 10 species
UGUAGGGGCAACCCACCCCUACAUCUGGUGCCCAACGUGGAGGCUUUUCUCUAGGGUGAAGGUACGCUCGAGCGUGGUCAUUGAGGACAAGUCGACAAGAGAUCCCGAGGACGUCUACAGUCAGCCUUACGUCUGCAGGUGUACCCAACAGCUCCGAAGAGACAGCGACCAUCGAGAACGGGCCAUGAUGACGAUGGCGGUUUUGUUGAAAAGAAAAGGGGGAAAUGUGGGGAAAAGCAAGAGAGAUCAGAUUGUUACUGUGUCUGUGUAGAAAGAAGUAGACAUAGGCGACUCCAUUUUGUUAUGUACUAAGAAAAAUUCUUCUGCCUUGAGAUUCUGUUAAUCUAUAACCUUACCCCCAACCCCAUGCUCUCUGAAACAUGUGCUGUGUCAACUCAGAGUUAAAUGGAUUAAGGGCGGUGCAAGAUGUGCUUUGUUAAACAGAUGCUUGAAGGCAGCAUGCUCCUUAAGAGUCAUCACCACUCCCUAAUCUCAAGUACCCAGGGACACAAAAACUGCGGAAGGCCGCAGGGACCUCUGCCUAGGAAAGCCAGGUAUUGUCCAAGGUUUCUCCCCAUGUGAUAGUCUGAAAUAUGGCCUCGUGGGAAGGGAAAGACCUGACCGUCCCCCAGCCUGACACCUGUAAAGGGUCUGUGCUGAGGAGGAUUAGUAAAAGAGGAAGGAAUGCCUCUUGCAGUUGAGACAAGAGGAAGGCAUCUGUCUCCUGCCUGUCCCUGGGCAAUGGAAUGUCUCGGUAUAAAACCCGAUUGUAUGCUCCAUCUACUGAGAUAGGGAAAAACUGCCUUAGGGCUGGAGGUGGGACCUGCGGGCAGCAAUACUGCUUUGUAAAGCAUUGAGAUGUUUAUGUGUAUGCAUAUCUAAAAGCACAGCACUUAAUCCUUUAUAUUGUCUAUGAUGCAAAGACCUUUGUUCACGUGUUUGUCUGCUGACCCUCUCCCCACAAUUGUCUUGUGACCCUGACACAUCCGCCUCUUCGAGAAACACCCACAGAUGAUCAAUAAAUACUAAGGGAACUC